rnacentral:rRNA from 1 species
GGAUUAGAUACCCUGGUAGUCCACGCCGUAAACGAUGUCUACUAGGUCGUGAGGGUUCUGACGCCAGCGCGGCCGGAGCAAAAGUUUUAAGUAGACCGCCUGGGGAGUACGGUCGCAAGGCUAAAACUCAAAGGAAUUGACGGGGGCUCACACAAGCGGUGGAGCAUGUGGCUUAAUUCGAAGCAACGCGAAGAACCUUAUCCUGGGUUUGACAUGGUCGGAUGCCCUCUCUGAAAGGGGAGUAAGCUGCCUUCGGGUGAAACGAUCUCAGGUGCUGCAUGGCUGUCGUCAGCUCGUGCUG